AGAUUUACUCAUGUUGUUGCGUAAAAUUAACAUCAAUUUUGAAGUAGUAAGUAUAAAAAUCAAUAUUUUCUCAUUCAAUUCAAUAUUCCGAUUCUUCUCUAGUAGGUCUAGUUAGGUUUGUUUAAAGGUGCACUCGCGUUUGUAGAACGUAUAGAAAAUAGAUAGAAAGCGUCGCUUCUGUUCGAUUUUGUCUGCCGUUGUCGUUUUCUCGCUUUUCCGAGCGCUGAGCACGCGCUAUGCACUUACUCUAAAUACCUACCUACACUAGCAGCCAACUAAACUAGCACAUGUCUCUCAACCACAACCAAAUCGAGUUAGUCGCACUCGAUCACUAUCAUGAACCACCUCUACCUCUCUAGCACAAUACUCUCUUCUUCAAUCAUGUGAAAAAUUUAUAAAACCUUUAAAAACAUAAAAAACGACCGCGAAAACUACGAAAAAUAUUAAUACAAUGUUAUUGUCAUUUUAUGACUAAUAUUUCGAUAAGACAUGCUAUACUCAUGCAGAUACGUAUGUGUGGCGACUGGUACAUCAGCGCACAAUUACGCGACGUGCGCGGAAGGGACGCUCGCCGGCGUGUUACGUGACUUGAGCACGCUGGUGGUGUUUCUGUUGAUUGUGCGAAUCGCCAGCGACGCCAUCGAUAACAUUCAAUAAGCGAAUAAUUAACAGCAAUCCAACUAUAUAGAAAAUAGUAUUAGACAAUGUUAGAAACAAUCAGUAUUAGAUGUUUUAGUAUUAUUUAACUACCUGCUUAAUAAAAUAUUUGAAUAAAUAUGUAAUAUUUAAGUAUUACAGUUUAUUUGAAAACA